rnacentral:rRNA from 1 species
AGAGCGAACGCUGGCGGCAGGCCUAAUACAUGCAAGUCGAGCGCACCUUCGGGUGAGCGGCGGACGGGUGAGUAACGCGUGGGAAUGUGCCCUUUGGUACGGAACAACUGAGGGAAACUUCAGCUAAUACCGUAUGUGCCCUUCGGGGGAAAGAUUUAUCGCCAUUGGAGCAGCCCGCGUUGGAUUAGGUAGUUGGUGAGGUAAAGGCUCACCAAGCCUACGAUCCAUAGCUGGUCUGAGAGGAUGAUCAGCCACACUGGGACUGAGACACGGCCCAGACUCCUACGGGAGGCAGCAGUAGGGAAUCUUGCGCAAUGGGCGAAAGCCUGACGCAGCCAUGCCGCGUGAAUGAUGAAGGUCUUAGGAUUGUAAAAUUCUUUCACCGGGGAAGAUAAUGACGGUACCCGGAGAAGAAGCCCGGCUAACUUCGUGCCAGCAGCCGC